AUGUUAGCCUGUGGAUCAAUCACUGUGGCUAUUCUGCAGUCGUGUUGUUCCAUUCACUAUUUCCAAGGCAGCUGGCGGCACCGAGCCUCCGGUGACGCCUGGUGGCAGCGCUGCUGUUGCCGCCGCCGCCGUGGUGGUGCCGUCCUUGUUGGAGGAAUUUGUGGCGGCGCGGCACAUGGGGCAGGUGGAGUGCGCUUGCAGCCAGGCGUGGACGCAGUCGGCGUGGAAGAGAUGGCCGCACCUGGGGAGCCGGCGCAGCUUCUCGCCGGCCUCCACCUGCCCGAGGCACACCGCGCAGUCCAUCGGCGCAGACUGCGCGUCGGCCACUGCGAUGACGGCGGCGUCGCUGAUGCCGCCGGCCUCGUGGUCCUCCGCACCCGGACGGCGGCGGGCGUAGGAGACGGCGAGGUAGAGGAGGAGGGUGAGGACGCCGAUCGCCAUGGCGAGCCCCGUGAGCAGCAGCCGCGAGCGCGUGCUGUACCUGGAGCUGUCGGCGACCGCGAACACCCAUGA
rnacentral:rRNA from 1 species